rnacentral:rRNA from 1 species
GACGUAGGAGGCGAGCGUUGUCCGGAUUCAUUGGGCGUAAAGAGCACGCAGGCGGUUUGGCAAGUCGGAUGUGAAAACCCGGAGCUCAACUCCGGACCUGCAUCCGAAACUGCCCGACUAGAGGUAGGUAGGGGAGAUCGGAAUUCCUGGUGUAGCGGUGAAAUGCGCAGAUAUCAGGAGGAACACCGGUGGCGAAGGCGGAUCUCUGGGCCUUACCUGACGCUCAGGUGCGAAAGCUAGGGGAGCGAACAGG